AAGCGUCCAGUGACUCAAAAUUCAGAAAAUCAGCCGUCCCGACAAGGUGGAAGAGACCGAUCAAGCUUUCGCUGUGUAGGAGCUCGUCAUACAUCCACCUCUCCGAGUAAGUGCCAUCACUGAUCCUCACGCAGUAACCUCAAGUCUCUCAUCAAAAUUUUCAAGGUGGCCAAAGCUGAGAAACUUCAGCCACUCCAAGACAUGGUGGUCCAAUAUGUCGACUCGAAAUCAAAAAAGGAACUGGUCCAGAUGGUUAGCACCGAAUUAUCUUGCAGAAGGUUCAACUUCUUGAACGAGUCCGAGUAUCUGCGUAGGGGCACUAUUGGAUCAGAAGAACUCUUUCGCGCCAUCUACACAUUUAUCCCAGACAAAGAAGAAGA